rnacentral:snRNA from 1 species
AGGUAGCCAAAUGCCUCG